rnacentral:rRNA from 1 species
GCCCUUAGAGUUGUAUCCUGGCUCAGAGUGAACGCUGGCGGCGUGCUUAACACAUGCAAGUCGAACGAGAACGGAUUAUAGCUUGCUAUAAUUGUCAGCUAAGUGGCGCACGGGUGAGUAAUAUAUAGAUAACCUGCCCUCUAGAAAGGAAUAACAGUUGGAAACGACUGCUAAUGCCCUAUAUGCCUUUAAUACAUAAGUAUGCAAGGGAAACGCUUUAGUGCUAGAGGAUGGGUCUGUAUGGUAUCAGCUUGUUGGUGAGGUAAUGGCUCACCAAGGCUAUGACGCCUAACUGGUUUGAGAGGAUGAUCAGUCACACUGGAACUGAGACACGGUCCAGACUCCUACGGGAGGCAGCAGUGGGGAAUAUUGCACAAUGGACGAAAGUCUGAUGCAGCAACGCCGCGUGGAGGAUGACACAUUUCGGUGCGUAAACUCCUUUUAUAUAGGAAGAUAAUGACGGUACUAUAUGAAUAAGCACCGGCUAA